rnacentral:rRNA from 1 species
AUGAGCACCGGGUUUGCGACGGCUGGGGGCGUGGAUGUGGGCAGGCAUGCCACGGUACUACAAUCGGCAUGCAACCAACUGCAUCUAGCUCGCGGUCAUACUGGUAACGGAUGUUGGGACUCCUCACCGACAAUGUUACAACCCACAACGUUGAUGUUGCGACUAACAACAAGAAAGCCACGAUCGAGGGACAAAUAUGCUGCAAUCAGCUACGCUGAAAUUGUGGCCAACGACGACAGACAACUGCAACAAGUGACCAGAGAGCUGCAAGCGGAAGCCGAAACUACUACAAUCGGCAACCUGUUGUGGUACGAGGCAGUGGAUGACGAGGACGAGUUCGUAGCCGCACGUGGCUGGCCGGACAACCAGCGGUACUGA